AAAUAACAUAAAAAAUGUGGUGCACACUGUUAAAUAACCCGCUAUGCGCGUUAUUCAGUGACCAAAUUUUUAAUGUUAUUUCUUCAUAGACAGAAAAAAUAUUACAGUCAUUCCUUAAAUAUUUUAAAGAAAUUUAUUGAUGUGUCAACUGAAAAUACUCAUCAAAAAUACUAUGCUUAUAAUUUUGUACACCAGACAUGUACAUGUGUUUCGUCUACAAGAAACUUAUCAGUGAUUCUGUAACAAAAAAAAUGCUCAUAACCUCAAAAC
rnacentral:lncRNA from 1 species